GACGAACGCUGGCGGCGUGGAUUAGGCAUGCAAGUCGAACGGUAGAUAUCCUUCGGGGUAUUGAGAGUGGCGAACGGGUGAGUAACACGUAGGUAAUCUACCCUCAAAUCGGGGACAACCCAGGGAAACUUGGGCUAAUACCGGAUGAGUGCAGCACCUAAAUCAUCCAUACGGAAUCUGGUUAAGAUUGGGUUUUGUAUGGUUGGGUGAUUUAGGUGCUGUAUAAAAGAUGGCUUCGGCUGUCGUUUGAGGAUGAGCCUGCGCUCUAUUAGUUAGUUGGUGAGGUAAUGGCUCACCAAGGCGAUGAUAGAUAGGCGGCCUUAACGGGUGGUCGCCCACACUGGGAUUGAGAUACGGCCCAGACUCCUACGGGAGGCAGCAGUAGGGAAUUUUCGGCAAUGGGGGAAACCCUGACCGAGCAAUGCCGCGUGAACGAUGAAGGUCUUCGGAUUGUAAAGUUCUGUGAUUGGGGAAGAAUGGUAUUCUUAGGGAAUGAGGAGUACAUGACGGUACCCG
rnacentral:rRNA from 1 species